UGGGGAAUAUUGGACAAUGGGCGCAAGCCUGAUCCAGCCAUGCCGCGUGAGUGAUUAAGGCCCUAGGGCUGUAAAGCUCUUCCACCGGUGAAGAUAAUGACGGUAACCGGAGAAGAAGCCCCGGCUAACUUCGUGCCAGCAGCCGCGGUAAUACGAAGGGGGCUAGCGUUGUUCGGAUUUACUGGGCGUAAAGCGCACGUAGGCGGACUUUUAAGUCAGGGGUGAAAUCUCGGGGCUCAACCCCGGAACUGCCUUUGAUACUGGAAGUCUUGAGUAUGGUAGAGGUGAGUGGAAUUCCGAGUCUAGAGGUGAAAGUCGUAGAUAUUCGGAGGAACACCAAUGUCGAAGGCGGCUCACUGGACCAUUACUGACGCUGAGGUGCGAAAGCGUGGGGAGCAAACAGG
rnacentral:rRNA from 1 species